AGCGGAGAAAGAACUCACGGGCACUUUGGGGUCUCAAACAUACUGCAGCCUACCGGGGUAGGAUCCAGGAGAGGGAAAUGCAUCAAGUCAAGAUGGUGGAGGAAGGGAGAAAAAAUAAAAACAAAUCAAGAUAUAAGGUGCACAGUAGUGAAGAAUCAAUGACUGACUACUAGUACUUGGAUCCCUGAAUGACCACAUGGGGUAGAGCAACUCAGGACUAUUUAAAGUUAUAUUUGUGACAUGGGAGAAAUAAACAUCUGCCUUCAUUAA